rnacentral:misc_RNA from 1 species
UCAAAGAAAGUGACACACUGAUGCAUACAAAAUCAUCCACAAUCUCCUAAUUAAGUCUUGUAACUAGAGAUGAGAGGUGGCUGUGUAUAGGAAUGAUCAACAAGCACCACCAAUUUAAUUGAGUCAUAUGCAUGUCAUAUAAAUAUAAAUAGUCAUAAAUUUUCUUUUUUACUUUGGGCGGGACCAGCCUUCAUACUGAUAAUAGAAAACUAUAUAUAUAACUGCAUACCGCAUCUGCACCAGCUUUGGAAGCACUUUCUGAAG